rnacentral:rRNA from 1 species
AAUAUUGGACAAUGGGGGCAACCCUGAUCCAGCAAUGCCGCGUGUGUGAAGAAGGCCUGCGGGUUGUAAAGCACUUUUAGAGGUGAAGAAGGUUGGUUUAUUAAUAGUGAAUCAAAUUGACAUUAGCCUCAGAAAAGCACCGGCUAACUCUGUGCCAGCAGCCGCGGUAAUACAGAGGGUGCGAGCGUUAAUCGGAAUUACUGGGCGUAAAGCGCGCGUAGGCGGUUGUCUAAGUCAGAUGUGAAAGCCCUGGGCUUAACCUGGGAACUGCAUCUGAUACUGGAUAACUAGAGUGUGGUAGAGGAAGGUAGAAUUUCCAGUGUAGCGGUGAAAUGCGUAGAGAUUGGAAGGAAUACCAGUGGCGAAGGCGACCUUCUGGACCAACACUGACGCUGAGGUGCGAAAGCGUGGGUAGCGAACAGGAUUAGAUACCCUGGUAG